rnacentral:rRNA from 1 species
UACGUAGGGUGCAAGCGUUGUCCGGAAUUAUUGGGCGUAAAGAGCUCGUAGGCGGUUUGUCGCGUCUGCUGUGAAAACUCGGGGCUUAACCCCGGGCCUGCAGUGGGUACGGGCAGACUAGAGUGCGGUAGGGGGAGACUGGAAUUCCUGGUGUAGCGGUGAAAUGCGCAGAUAUCAGGAGGAACACCGAUGGCGAAGGCAGGUCUCUGGGCAUUAACUGACGCUGAGGAGCGAAAGCAUGGGGAGCGAACAGG